rnacentral:rRNA from 1 species
AUUGAACGCUGGCGGCAGGCCUAACACAUGCAAGUCGAGCGGAUGAAGGGAGCUUGCUCCUGGAUUCAGCGGCGGACGGGUGAGUAAUGCCUAGGAAUCUGCCUGGUAGUGGGGAAUAACGUCCGGAAACGGGCGCUAAUACCGCAUACGUCCUGAGGGAGAAAGUGGGGGAUCUUCGGACCUCACGCUAUCAGAUGAGCCUAGGUCGGAUUAGCUAGUUGGUGGGGUAAAGGCCUACCAAGGCGACGAUCCGUAACUGGUCUGAGAGGAUGAUCAGUCACACUGGAACUGAGACACGGUCCAGACUCCUACGGGAGGCAGCAGUGGGGAAUAUUGGACAAAGGGCGAAAGCCUGAUCCAGCCAUGCCGCGUGUGUGAAGAAGGUCUUCGGAUUGUAAAGCACUUUAAGUUGGGAGGAAGGGCAGUAAGUUAAUACCUUGCUGUUUUGACGUUACCAACAGAAUAAGCACCGGCUAACUUCGUG